AACGAACGCUGGCGGCAUGCCUAACACAUGCAAGUCGAACGAUACCUUCGUGUCUAUUUGCGCACGUGUUCGUAACGCGUUGUAACCUUCCUUUAUGUUCGGAAUAACUCAGUGAAAUUUGUGCUAAUACCGGUUGAUUUCUUCUGACCAAAGAUUUAUCGCCUUUAGAUGGGCCCGCUUUGGAUUAGCUUGUUGGUUGGGUAAAGGCCUACCAAGGCGACGAUCCAUAGCUGGUAUGAGAGGAUGAUCAGCCACACUGGGAGUGAGACACGGCACAGAAGAGUACGGGAGGGAGCAGUGGGGAAUAAAGGAAAAUGGGGGAAAGGAAGAAAAAGAAAGGAGGGGAGAGAGAGGAAGGGAGUAGGGAAGAAAAGCAGUUUUAAAAGAGAAGAUAAUGACAGUAACGGGAGAAUAAGCAACGGCUAACUACGUG
rnacentral:rRNA from 1 species